rnacentral:rRNA from 1 species
GACGAACGCUGGCGGCGUGCUUAACACAUGCAAGUCGAACGAAGAGCGAUGGAAGCUUGCUUCUAUCAAUCUUAGUGGCGAACGGGUGAGUAACGCGUAAUCAACCUGCCCUUCAGAGGGGGACAACAGUUGGAAACGACUGCUAAUACCGCAUACGAUCCAAUCUCGGCAUCGGGACUGGAUGAAAGGUGGCCUCUAUUUAUAAGCUAUCACUGAAGGAGGGGAUUGCGUCUGAUUAGCUAGCUGGGUGGGGAACGGCCUACCAAGGGGAUGAACAGUAGCCGGUCUGGAGGGAGGAACGGCCACAUUGGGAAUGGGACCCGGCCCAGGACUCUUCGGGGGGCAGCAGGGAGGAAACUUCCGGAAUGGAGGAAAGUCUGACCGGACAACGCCGGGGGGAUGAUGGCAGCUCUCCGGUUGGAAAGCCCUUGUUAUCGGGGCGGAAGAUACUUGUACGAAUAGGGGGAGGAUUUGACGGUACCUGAAUAGAAAGCCACGGCUAACUACGUG